GAAGAUGCAGUGUACCCGCGGCAAGACGGAAAGACCCCGUGAACCUUUACUAUAGCUUGACACUGAACAUUGAGCCUUGAUGUGUAGGAUAGGUGGGAGGCUUUGAAGUGUGGACGCCAGUCUGCAUGGAGCCGACCUUGAAAUACCACCCUUUAAUGUUUGAUGUUCUAACGUGGACCCGUGAUCCGGGUUGCGGACAGUGUCUGGUGGGUAGUUUGACUGGGGCGGUCUCCUCCUAAAGAGUAACGGAGGAGCACGAAGGUUGGCUAAUCCUGGUCGGACAUCAGGAGGUUAGUGCAAUGGCAUAAGCCAGCUUGACUGCGAGCGUGACGGCGCGAGCAGGUGCGAAAGCAGGUCAUAGUGAUCCGGUGGUUCUGAAUGGAAGGGCCAUCGCUCAACGGAUAAAAGGUACUCCGGGGAUAACAGGCUGAUACCGCCCAAGAGUUCAUAUCGACGGCGGUGUUUGGCACCUCGAUGUCGGCUCAUCACAUCCUGGGGCUGAAGUAGGUCCCAAGGGUAUGGCUGUUCGCCAUUUAAAGUGGUACGCGAGCUGGGUUUAGAACGUCGUGAGACAGUUCGGUCCCUAUCUGCCGUGGGCGCUGGAGAACUGAGGGGGGCUGCUCCUAGUACGAGAGGACCGGAGUGGACGCAUCACUGGUGUUCGGGUUGUCAUGCCAAUGGCACUGCCCGGUAGCUAAAUGCGGAAGAGAUAAGUGCUGAAAGCAUCUAAGCACGAAACUUGCCCCGA
rnacentral:rRNA from 1 species